AAGCGAAACAGCCUCGGGCAACCGGGGCUGUCUACCCGGUGUGGCGUCCGGGUACUGAUGAGCUGCCUAGG
rnacentral:hammerhead_ribozyme from 1 species